UACUCUACUCCUACGGGAGGCAGCAGUGGGGAAUCUUAGACAAUGGGGGCAACCCUGAUCUAGCCAUGCCGCGUGAGUGAUGAAGGCCUUAGGGUUGUAAAGCUCUCUCAGCUGGGAAGAUAAUGACGUACCAGCAGAGAGUCGUCGCA
rnacentral:rRNA from 1 species